UACAGAGGUCCCGAGCGUUGUUCGGAUUCAUUGGGCGUAAAGGGUGCGUAGGCAGCUUCCUAAGUUUGAUGUGAAAUCCUGGGGCUCAACCCUGGAACUGCAUUGAAUACUGGGAGGCUAGAGUACUGGAGAGGAAACUGGAAUUUACGGUGUAGCAGUGAAAUGCGUAGAGAUCGUAAGGAAGACCAGUGGCGAAGGCGAGUUUCUGGACAGUUACUGACGCUGAGGCACGAAGGCCAGGGGAGCAAACGGG
rnacentral:rRNA from 1 species